rnacentral:piRNA from 1 species
UAUGUGUUCCUUAAGCAGAUG